rnacentral:lncRNA from 1 species
UCCCAGAGCCUGGCCUGGCAGAUACCCUCUCCCUUAGGUCUGCGCUGCUCUCUCUGAUAACUGCAUGGGCCAGGUCAAGCAGAAUCCUCCCCAGGAAUGUUCCUGGCUGCGACGGAUGAAAGAAAGAGGCUCAUUUAUAUCCCUUGGCGUCCAGAACUGUUAGCAGUGGCCUGGAGGCCUCACUUCCUGAACAGUGCAGGAGAAAAGGAUGCUGAUAGCAGAGAAGGUGAUGGACAGAGAGUCCUGGGGGACUUGGGUCCAGGCUCCGGUCUUCCUCGGACACGUCCCUGUCCCUCCUGCUAGCCGGAGACAAUAACUCCAUUUUACUUUGAGUUCCCUGAAGUUGGAUUUGACAAAUGAUUGAAGAUCAUCUACGGGGACUUAAUUACUGAAUCUUUGAAAAGGUUCAUUGGGCUUUGAAUUUGUGGCUCCUUCCACCUAAUCUCCGGCUCAGUUGUGUGCAUUACUCUGAGGAGAGCUCUGCAGUGAUGUCCCAGGGGCCUCGCCUAAGUAAGGACAUCUGUGGCCACUCGUGCAAUAAGCCAUCGAUUCACCCUUUACUAGGUGUGCCUGUUUCCUAGGGCGGCCCUAAUGAGUCCCACAAACUGAGUGGCUCAAAAAACAGAAAUGUAUUGUCUCAUAGCUCUGCAGGCUGAAAGUCCAAGGUCAAGGUCAAGAGAGUUGGUUUCCUCUGAAGCUGUGAGGGAGAAUCUAUUCCAGGCCUCAGCUUUUGGUGUUUCUUGGCUGGUAGAUGCAUUGUCCCAAUCUCAGCCUUUCUCUUCAUGUGCUGUUUGCCCCGUGUACACGUGUCUCCAAACUUCCCCUUUUUAUAAGGAAGGGCACCCAUUGUAUUGGAUUAAGGCCCACUCUGAUAACCUGGUCUUAUGACCAACUAAUUGGAUCUGCAACGACUCAGUUUUCAAUUGGGUCCCAUUGUGGAUACUGGGGAUUGGACUUCAACAUAGGAAUUCUGGGAUGGGGAUGGGGGGACACAAUUCAACCCAGGCCACUAGGGAAUCAGGUAGGGGAAAUAAAACCUAAGCACAAGCCUCCUGUUCACCCAGAGGAAGGCUUUGGGAAGUAGACAUACAGAUGGCAUGGACCCUGAAUUUGAAUGUCACUUUUAUGAGUUAAUCCAGCUUGGUGGCCUUGGGCAAGUCAUUUAAGCUUCCUGUGUUUGAGAGAUAAGCAGGGUGGGCUGGACUGGUGGUUUUCAAAACACAUUCCAUGGAGCCACUGGGGCUUGUUUGGGUUGGGGCGUUGGGAGGGAAGUUGGUAGAUCGUUGAUACCCCACACUCACAUCACCCAGGGGUGUGCCCAGAGAUCCACCUUGGCAGACGGCAGUAUUCUAUCAGUGAUGUUAUUAGAAUUGCCAGUGUGCAGCGAAAACACAAAGCUGACCGACUCUUCAUUGGCUUUAUGGUUUUUCAAUUCUCUGCAAAUAAUGCAUCUCUUGCCUGUUCCCUGGGAGGACAGCUCAGGCAGACCGACCCCAGCAAUCCCUACCUUUGUACGCACGGCUCCCCCAAGUGGUUCUAUGCUUACUGGUUGUAUAUAUAAGGAUUCCAAGAAUAUUUUUGUUUGGAUAAAGAGCUCUGCUAAAAAAAAUUAGUUUUCGUCUAGAAAACAACCAAAGGAUCUCUCAGUUUCCUUCUGGUCCUAAGAUUCUGCGUGUCUCUUAAAAAGUAGUCAAUCUUUUUAGAAUUUUCAUUCUCUACCUUUGGAAACUUAAUGUUAUUAAUAAUUACUUAAACAUGGCACUAAAGAUUGCUCAAGGCAUGGCAAAUAUUUUCAUUUUUCACUGAAUGGGGCUCCGACAGAGGAGUGUAACUUCCAGGGUGGACGCUGCAUUUUUUUUUUUUUUUUUUUUAACAGCUGCACCUACAGCAUGUGGAAGUUCCCAGGCAAGGGGCUGAAAUGGAGCUGCAGCUGCUGGCUUAUACCACAGCCACAGCAGUGUGGGAUCCGAGCUGUAUCUUUGACCUAUACCGCAGUUUUCAGCAACGCCGGAUCCUUAAUCCACUGAGCAAGGCUAGGGAUUGAAACCGCCGCCUCACGGAGACAACCUUGGGUCCUUAAACCGCUGAGCCAAAAUGGGACUUCCCUGGAUGCUGCAUCUGAAUGGAGAUGAGACUGGAAAGUGGCUGGCUCCACCGAGGGGUGGGUUUGUCUAUGGAGGACUGUCUUUUCUCUUAACUCUCUCAUUUAAAUAACUGGGAAUGUCUUAUAUAUACAAUUUCUGCUGGGAAGGAAGAUGUUUGCAGUGUGCCUAUAUCUGGGCUGGUAGUUUUUGUCAAGUAGUGAAAACCCCACUUGGUAUGUAUCAUGGAGCCCUGGAUGGCUGUGGUACCAAACCCGGUUUAUUAUAGCUCCUGGCCUUCCACUUGGCACCCCUUCUGCAAAGGUGCCCUGCACUCGACUGUAGUGGUAACCCCCUUUCAUCCUCACCCUCUAACUUUCCUAUGCUGCCCCUGCCUACAGGGUAGAACCACUAUUCUGCUGAGAUUUUUUUUUUCUCAUCUAAUGUUGUUCUCAUUUUAGGAAAGAGAAAUAAAUAUUUUGAUAUAUAAUAAUUAUUAUUAAUGCUUAUUAAGCAUGUACUCAAUGCCAGGCACUGGUCCAGUUGCUUUACAGAUAUAAUAUAAACCUGUCUCAUUCUCCCAACAACCCUAGGGGGAGGUACCAUCAUCUCCCCCACGGGCCAGUGAGGAAGCAGCACACAGGGGUGAUGCCACUGAUUUAGUCGAGGAUCUGAAGGCAGACAGCCUGGCUGUUAACCAGAUGAGGUGCAUGUGUUGCACUUCACAUGUGCCGUUAGAAGAAAGGUGUUUGGACUGCAUCCCUCUUCUUGCUGUUGACGCAAUCCCGGCAUCUAGGAAGUGAUGAACUAGUGUGUGAUGAAGAGUCCAAAGCAGGACUGCUGUUUAUCCCACCGGUCCUUUAGGGGAGCAGAAGUGGAAGCCAGCGUGCCAGCGACAUUGUUUUUUGCCCCUGCCACCCCCUACGGUAAAGGUGCCUCCCUCCACCCCUUCCAGCCUGGGGUGGGGGAAGAGGAAUUUCCCUGGUUUCUCUCCCAUGGUGGGGUGGGGGUUGAGGGUGGGUGACAAGUCCAGAAACAGAAGGAAGGGCGUCAUCAGUAAAGUGGGGGUUUCCGGGGCUGAGAUUUAGCAGUGGACAGAGAAAACAAUUGCUUCGAGGGGAAAAAAAAGUGCCUGUUCUAACUUUAGAGUCUGCCUCUAUUUAGUUCUACUCCUUGGUUUCUGCCACAGAUCAAGGCCUAUAUGGCAUUCACUUUAUAAAUAAGCAUGUCCUGCCCGCCUUUGGUCCCGACUUCAAAAUCCUCCCCAUCCUUUCUGACCUUGACCAUAGGCUACCACUGCUUAUGAAGCCUCUGCUGAUGCCUCCAGUGAAUACACUUCCUCCCCAGCUCCUUCCUGCGUAGCUCUCUUUCUAUUGCUCUACGUCUGGCAAAGAGCAGCAUCCUACAGGCUCCCAGGAUGUUUUGGAGACCAUGCCGAAGCCUUCGUCUUACAAUUUCAAGGUCACUCUGUUUACAGCCUUUGAGCACCUGGACUCAUAUACAUGAUGAAAGGGGGGGGAAUCUCCUUCCUUCUUAUUUUUGUCCUGAUGCUUAUUUAGCGUUUCCUCCCCAUUAGCUACAGAUGCCAUUUUACGAACAGCAGCCUGCUCCCCACCAACAUUCUCCUGUGUGGAGCUGGACAUGUUACAAUGUGGUCAGAUGGUUCUCAGAUGAUUUUAACUUCUUUUCAGGCAACUAAUUGUGACCACAUGGAUGCGGUUCAAUCUGAGGGUAGGCUGAUUUUUUUUUUUUUUCUCCCCCUGGAAUUGAGAGCUAAAAAAAAAAAUAUCUAGGGUUAUUUAUUUGUUUAUUUAUUUAUUUUAGAAUACGACCUCAAAAACCUUACAAGUGUGUAAAACAAAGUCAAAGUUAAACACUGCAAUUACCAAACACCAUUCUCUUUUCCUUAGGAAAGCCAAGACACUACAAUGUACUUGAAGAGUUUUGAGCAGGAUCAAAUUCUGUGCCUCAUGCAGGAGCUGCUUCCCUGGAGUUCGUAAAAAUUGCCCACAGGGUGAUUCCCCCCCAAAUACCCUUGCCCCCACCCCCAAAUACCCUUUUGUUUUAAAAAUAAUUUAUAUUCCUCUUUCUUGUACGGGUUGCUCACUUUGUGUGAUAACUCUCUUCAGUGGUAUGAGGGGAAAAAUUAAUAGACAUUGUUGUUCUAGCUGGUCCAGAAGAUUUUCUGACGAUGUCAUCAGGGUAAAGAUUAAAUGGUGUCCUUUGAAUGUUUUUACAUGGGUCAUUGAUCUAACUACUUUAAUUCAUCACGGAAAACAUAAAAAGAGAAACAGCCCUUACCCUGCCAAAACAAAAACAGAAAAAGAAGCAGAAGCUGUAGGAUAGAAAGCACUGCUGCUUUCCUCUUGCCAAUAAAAGGGGCAGUUGAAAUUCAGACAGCGGGGUCAGUGUUCAACUGUCCGCUGAUAUCAAAGCUGAUAAAUUACAUCGGGAGCGGAGUCUGCACACACUCGGUAGGGCCCCCUGGGCUCAUUAAGUUAUAUAACCAUCUUUGAUUUCAAUAAGGGCUACUGACCAGAAAGCCCAGCUAGCUAUACGCUAUAAGCCUAGAAAGCUACUUACUGGGUUAUUAAGGGCUGCUAAUAUGUGGUUAAGACUUUUUCGUAUAAUAAAACAUGUCUCAUUUCAGGAGUACAUAAGAAUUUCAUUUUUGUGGCUCUCUUUUCCUAUUUGGGCUUUUGCCCUUAAGAAAGUAGGAAUGGUGGCAUUCCCAUUGUGGCUCACUGGGUUAAGGAUAUUGUGAGAUGCUGUUCUGUGAGGAUGCUGGUUCUAUCCUAGCCUCAUCCAGUGGGCUAUGGAUCUAGCAUUUCUGGAAGCUGUGCUGUAGGUUGCAGAUGUGGCUGGGAUCUGGCAUUGCUGUGGCUGUGGUGUAGGCUGGUAGCUGCAGCUCUGAUUUGACCCCUAGCCUAGGAACUUCCAA